rnacentral:rRNA from 1 species
UGGGGAAUUUUCCGCAAUGGGCGAAAGCCUGACGGAGCAAUACCGCGUGAGGGAAGACGGCCUAUGGGUUGUAAACCUCUUUUUUCAGGGAGGAAUUUUGACGUGUACCUGAAGAAUAAGCAUCGGCUAACUC